GAAUAAAUUCAACGGCCGCGGUAUCCUAACCGUGCAAAGGUAGCAUAAUCACUUGCCUAUUAAUUGUAGGCUAGAAUGAAUGGGGUAACGAAAUAAAACCUAUCUUAAUUAAAGUAAAUAAAAACUUAUAUUUAAGUGAAGAAGCUUAAAUUUAAUAAAAGGACAAGAAGACCCUAUAGAGCUUUAGUAAAAAUUUAUUAUAUAAGUAAUCACUUCGGUUGGGGCGACCCAGGAUAAUUCAUCCUGAAAAUAAUAGAUACAUAAAUCAAACAUUAUGAACCUACCUAGAUCACAGAUCUAGCUACCUUAGGGAUAACAGGCUAAUCUCACCUUAGAGCUCAUAUCCAAGGUGAGGAUUGGCACCUCGAUGUUGGCUUAGAGAAUCACAUUGGCGCAGCAGUCAAUAAAUGAGGGUUUGUUCAACCCGUAAUACUC
rnacentral:rRNA from 1 species